rnacentral:lncRNA from 1 species
AUACAUACAUAUUUACACAGGUAAACCACAACACACGCGGCAACCGAGGAAUAUAACGUCUCGCUCCACGUCGGCAAUAGAACAGCACCGCGCAGGCUAUCCCGACCUGCGACCUGAGUUCAGCUAAAAUUAUUUAUUCAAACAAUCCGUUUGCCUGCGAUGUAUGGAGCUUUUAAAAUUGCAAAGAAUGAUCAAGCAGAACCGCCAUGACAAGGCGCCGGAGCGGGCCACUGUUUCUUGCGCUCUAUGGCGCUGUUCCUGAUCAGCGAAUGUAAAGCUAUUGAUUGAGAUUACUGUUGCAGCGAGAAGCGUCGCGCUGGGUGAUUCCGUUGGCGGACUCCAAGGAGGCUUCACACCGUCUUCGGGAGUCCGCGCGGGGGUGCUUCGCAUAACGAUGCACCUGCAUAGCUAUGUAAUCAGUCACCAGGGCAAACUUAUUUCAUAGACGCCCAAGGUCUCAGCCCGAGGUCUCGGCCCGAGGUCUCGGCCCGAGGGGUCUCGGCCGUCCGUCUCGUCUCGAGGUCUUGGCCGUCCUUUCCAUGGAGCCUUAUGCUGCAACUCAAUAAGAAUUCCAUUUACACAAUUGUAUGCAUAACUCUUGGUUCUUGUCACGUAUGUGUUCAGCUUCCUAAGAUGAAUUGUAACCCCUGUACGUACUGCAACCGCUUCUCCAUUUUUCCGCCAGCAGAGACUUUGUCCUUACGAAGUAGAUAUAGCAUCUGCUUUAUGUUCCUUACAGUCUGAGCUCUGGUUACACAGCUCCGCUGGUGUAAGAUUGCGAGACUCUGAUAGGGAAAUACAGAAGGUCCAGUCGCAGAUAGAGGCAACGGAGGAUCCACAAAAAGCAUGCGAGGAUAAAGAUGAGUUGGCUCACUUGCGCGAGAAGGCGCGCCAACUCCGCGAGAAGGAGCGCCAACUCCGCGAGGAGGAGCUCUUGCGUCUCAAGAUGCAAUGUAAGUGAACCAUGAAGUGUGUGCGCCUGAAGCCUUCGUCAGCACCUAUAUUAUAGUCCACAUAAACAAUAUAGAGACAAAUGGUCUGAGUAUCGCACCUUGGCUUUGGACUAAUACCUGCUCUAUAUUAAUAGUUUUAUCUCAACAAUUCAGAAAAGAACCGAACAGUGAACAGAUCUAGUGAUAUGCCCAGAAUACUAUCAACCUGGGUCAAGCUGCAUGUCAAAAAGGUCAAUGCAUCUUGGUGUCACCUGAUGAGCACCAGACUGCUGCCUGAACAUAAUACAGGAAAGUAACUAUUAGUGUCUGGUUGUGCCUGAUGUGGUCUAGACUGUGUGGCUGUGUCAAAUGCACCAGCUUUAUGCUGUACAGGAGCAAGAAUGGGACAUGCCCUAUGGCAUAAAAUGGGGGGUACCACCCCCUUAAGUGUAACCCAGGGGGUCAGAGUAAGGGUUAUCCAUGUGGCUAUGUCAUUGCAUCUUGAGACGCGGAGUUGGGGCUCCUUCUUGUGGAGUUGGCACUUCUUCUCGCGGAGUUGGCACUCCUUCUCGUGCAAGUGAGCCAACUCAUCUUUAUCCUCGCAUGCUUUUUGUGCAUCCUCCGUUGCCUCUAUCUGCGACUGGACCUUCUGUAUUUCCCUAUCAAGAUUCUCCAUGAGUCUUGCAAUCUUACACCAGCAGAGUUGUGUAACCAGAGGUCAGACUGUAAGGAACAUAAAGCAGAUGCUAUAUCUACUAAGGACAAAGUCUCUGCUGGCGUAAUAACGGUUGCCGUACCUACAGGGAUUACAAGUCACCUUAGGAAGCUGAACACAUACGUGACAAGAACCAUGAGUUAUGCAUACAAUUAUGUAAAUGGAAUUCUUAUUGAGUUGCAGCAUAAGACUCCAUGGUAAGGACGGCCAAGUCCUCGAGGUGAGACCCCGGGCUGAGACCUCAGGCUGAGACCUGGGGUGUCUAUGAAAUAAGUUUGCCCUGGUGACUGAUUACAUAGCUAUGCAGGUGCAUCGUUAUGUGAAGCACCCCCACAUGGACUCUCGAAGACGGUGUGAAGCCUCCUUGGAGUCCGCCAACAGAGUCGCCCAGCAUGAUGCUUCUCACUGCAACAGUAAUCUUAAUCAAUAGCUUUAUAUUCGCUGAUCAGGAACAGCACCAUAGAGGCCGGUGCUUUGUCAUGGCGGUUCUGCUUGAUCGUUCUUUGCAAUUUUAAAAUCUCCAUACAUUGCAGGCAAACAGAUUGUUUGAAUAAAUAAUUUUAGCUGAACUCAGGUCGCAGGUCGGGAAAGCCUGCUCAGUGCUGUUCUAUUGCUGACAUGGAGUGAGACGUUAUAUUCCUCAGAUACAUUAUAAUCCUCAGUUGCCGUGUGUGUUGUGGUUUACCUGUGUAAAGAUGUAUGUAUGUUGU